rnacentral:rRNA from 1 species
CAGCAGCCGCGGUAACACGAAGGGUGCAAGCGUUACUCGGAAUUACUGGGCGUAAAGCGUGCGUAGGUGGUGGUUUAAGUCCGUUGUGAAAGCCCUGGGCUCAACCUGGGAAUUGCAGUGGAUACUGGGUCACUAGAGUGUGGUAGAGGAUAGUGGAAUUUCCGGUGUAGCAGUGAAAUGCGUAGAGAUCGGAAGGAACAUCUGUGGCGAAGGCGACUAUCUGGGCCAACACUGACACUGAGGCACGAAAGCGUGGGGAGCAAACAGGAUUAGAUACCCCCGUAGUCCCUGUCUCUUAUAC